GGACUUUUCAUGAACACAUCCCCAACAAUUGCCCAGAAAAANNNNNNNNNNGAAGGCAAACACAUGAUGAUUUCAGACACUCAGGGUCGGGUCAAAGACAGUCCACAGAUUCAAGGUCUACAAGAAGAGAGGGAUCAGAGAGAAGAGAAGAAAAUGAUUCUUCCAGACAUUCUGGUUCUGGUCAAAGACAGUCCACAGAAGCUAGUAGUGGAGGUAGGCAUGGAUCCAGCAGCAGACAAGAACGUGACUCCUCUGGACAUUCAGAUUCUGGUCACAGACAGUCCACAGAUUCUAGGUCUAGGGGAAGAGAGCUAUCAGGGAGCAGACAGGAACAUGACUCUUCCAGACACUUGACUACUGAUCAUAGUCAAUCAAAUAAUAGCAGAGGAAGCCCACAAUACAGUGCCAGUCCUAGAGUGUCUCUUUCUUCUAAGAGGCAUUCAGUGAGUAGUCAACAAACAAGACAUGGUUCAGGUUACACGUGGAGACAUGGUAGCUAUGGCAGUGCAGAAUAUGAUUAUGGACAGACUGGUUAUGGGCACUCUGCAGACAGCGGGAGUAACAGUCGGUCUUCUAGCCCUCUGCCGUCCAAGAAUGUGAUUCCCAGUCUUUUUUCUGUGCAUGGACAUUCAUUCUUAAGAUAUGACUAUACUGAUUCUGACUCAAGUAGAAGAAGUCAUGCGUCCUCCGUGGUAAGUGACAAGCAACAUAAGAGACAUCACUCUAACCCUAGCACUACUAGAAAGCAGAUUUCAAGCUCUGGCCACUCUAGUGACGAGAUAGGACCAUUACAGAGAAGACAAUCAGUGUCCUCCCCUGAACGAUCCACGUCUGGUCAUGGACAGUCACCAUCCCCUGACAGGCAGUCAGAACCCAGAACAAGGAGGACAGCAAGAAGAGGAUCCAGCCCUGGGCAGUCCACAGAUAGCUCAACCAGAAUUCCAGGAAGACAAGAAUCACAUCAUUACCAGUUAGAGGAUGGUCCUACUGAGGUUAGAGGAAAGCCAGCAUAUGGUCAGGAACAGUCAGGGACAAGCAACAGACAGUCAGGUGACACUUGGGAUCACUCUAGGCCUAGAACAACUAGAAGACAUGGAUUCAGUCAUGCCCAAUCAAGGAAUAGCCUUAGGCAGUUAGGUUCCAGGCAUAGACAGACAAGUCAUGAAGAAUACAGUGAUAGAUUUAGCCACCCUGAUUCUGGCCAUGAAAACACAGAGUACGUCACACGCUAUAGUAACAGAUCCAGUUCACACCAAUCUGCUGAUAGCUCUGACCAGAUAGGAACAAGAGAGCACAGGCAUAGAAAUCCAUCGGGUCGUAGAACCUCAGAGGGUACUAGACGAAACAGGUCCGAAUCAAGCUCCAGUGUGCCAGGGGACAGUGGGAGACACAGACAAGUUAUUGUUGGUUCUCAGAGAUCCGGAGUCACUGGUACAAGAGAGAGAACCUACUCAGGAUCCUACUAUCCUAGCAGCAUUACCCCUCUCUAUGAGUACAUUCAGGAGCAAAGGUAUAACUACUAUUAUUGAAAAGCCACCAGAAAACUAAGUAACUGAAAUAGGAAAUGAAGAAAUGAGAAAAAAGAAAUGAUAAGUCUCAACUAUACUAGUGUUCAUGACAUUUACUUCUGGGAACACAUCCCUGGGAACAGGGUUGUGUUUUUCUAUCUUUUCAACCAAAUUAUACUCUGUCUCUUCUGUCUGGUGUUAGAUUUUUUUUAUGAAUGUGCCACUUAAUGGUGUAGGGUACUUGAAUUCUUAGGUAGUGGUGAGUAAAAGUAGAAUUUGUGUGGCAAUAUUCAAAUUUAUUCAGAAGGUUAAGGUACAAACUAAAUACAACUCUCAACUGAGUAUUCAUUAUUGGAGUUUUUCAUGACAUCAAUUGACUGCUGUAAAUGUGGAUCAUUUCUCUCCAAGGAGCUACAAAAUCUGUCUUCCCUACCUGUUCUCAAAGAUAAAGCUGUAGUCUAGCAUCAAGUGCCAUAUCCAAUGGCAUGGAAAGAGAAGGGAAACUAAGGUCAGGGACACAACUUCAGCAAUUUCUUUGAACCUUAUGGUCAUCUCACUGCAGUUCCUAUACCAUUUUUUAUAGGCAAGUUGAAAAUUAACAUGAAAAACUGGUAUUGUUUAUGUCUCUCUCUACCUGUUUUGUCUACCUGAGACAUGGUAGUUAACUUUGAAGAAUGGGCACUGAGCCCAUUUUUUUGGUCCAAUGGUUCAAAAUCUAAACUCUAAUUUGAAUUUAAAAAUAAAGAUUUUUUUUUUUGGAAUCUGUUCUAAGUU
ensembl:lncRNA